rnacentral:rRNA from 1 species
UGGGGAAUAUUGGACAAUGGGGGGAACCAUGAUCCAGCCAUGCCGCGUGUGUGAAGAAGGCCUUAUGGUUGUAAAGCACUUUAAGCGAGGAGGAGGGUACUGGUAUUAAUACUACCAGGUACUGGACGUUACUCGCAGAAUAAGCACCGGCUAACUCUGUGCCAGCAGCCGCGGUAAUACAGAGGGUGCGAGCGUUAAUCGGAUUUACUGGGCGUAAAGCGUGCGUAGGCGGCUAAUUGAGUCGGAUGUGAAAUCCCCGAGCUUAACUUGGGAAUUGCAGUCGAUACUGGUUAGCUAGAGUGUGGGAGAGGAUGGUAGAAGUCCAGGUGUAGCGGUGAAAUGCGUAGAGAUCUGGAGGAAUACCGAUGGCGAAGGCAGCCAUCUGGCCUAACACUGACGCUGAGGUACGAAAGCAUGGGGAGCAAACAGG